CCGGGCCACGGCGGAUGUCCCAGGCCAGCGAGGGGGCAAUAUAACUAUGUGUGCUGCCAUAUCUGAGAAUGGUGUGGCCACUCACAUCCCCAGUCUUGGCCCAUACAAUACACAGAAGCUCCUCAUCUUCUUGGACCGCCUUCAUUUUGAUUUGAUCCCUGAAAAUGAGAGAGGUCUCGUAGGACCUCACCUACCACAAUAUGUCAUUGUAUGGGACAAUGUGAAUUUCCACCGUGGCCCGCUCAUCAGGGCCUGGUUCACUACUCAUCCAAGGAUGGUCAUGGUGUUCCUUACUCUCCUUUCCUCAAUCCUAUUGAGGAGUAUUUCUCCGCUUGGAGGUGGAGAGUGUAUGAGCAUCGGGCUCAAGAUCAGAGGUCCCUGCUCCAUGCAUUGGACGCUGCAUGUGAGGAUAUUACAGGAGAUCAGUGUAGGGGAUGGUUGCGACAUGCACGCCGUUUCUUCCCUCGUUGCAUCGCAAGGGAGAAUAUACGCUGUGAUGUGGACGAGAAUCUGUGGCCAGACAGACAGCAGCGUGUGGAUGGCCAGGAGGUUACUGCCUAGAUCUACCAGCCUGGACAACCGGAUGACUGGUCCGGAACGGCAAUUCCCAACCAGGAUAUCCCCUGGCCAUUCUUGUGGUGGUCGGCAGCUUUCAGAAAGCCUACCAGGGUAAACCACCAGAGAGGGACUGCAACGAUGAUCCACAACCAGGACAUCCCGUGGUCAUUUUUAUGUUGGGUUGCAACUUGCAGAAUCAUUCCAAGGUUGAACCCACCAGAGAGGGACUGUCAUGACUCUCUCACCUUGGUGAGGAUCAAAAGAACCCAUCAGCUAGGCAAAUGUUUGAGGAUUGGCCUGUUUUAUGACUUAAAUACCUUGCAGAAACUCUUCCUUUGGCUUCGGCAGGAUUGGAAGGCUGAAAAUCCUUUGUUACACAGAGAGACUUUGCCACCAAAAAACUGGGAAAGACGACCAAAGGGAAGGUCAGAUCCCUCUGAACACUGUGUCGUACAUCUGAAGUAUCUAACGAACACUCCAGAACAAAAGAAGCCUACAAUUAAGGACAUUAUGACCUCUGGUGGACAACCAGAGACUUACAUCGAACCACUUCCCAUAGAACCAUCGAGUUCAACAGAGAGAUGACAAAGACAUCUACGCAUAAAUGUAUACAUUGCAUUUAUUUUCCGAAUGAGCGGUUGUUCAUGUGCAAAGUAUUCAUAUUCCCAUGAGUAUAGCUUCCAAAUGUAUGUACGAUAAGUUGACUCUCUUUGUCUCUCCUUCUCCUUACAUACCCCUCCCCCUUACAUUGCGUAACCCAACGGUCAAGC
rnacentral:lncRNA from 1 species